rnacentral:rRNA from 1 species
GGGUUGUGAGGUUAAGCGACUAAGCGUACACGGUGGAUGCCCUGGCAGUCAGAGGCGAUGAAGGACGUGCUAAUCUGCGAAAAGCGUCGGUAAGGUGAUAUGAACCGUUACAGCCGGCGAUGUCCGAAUGGGGAAACCCAGUGCAAUUCGUUGCACUAUCGUUAACUGAAUACAUAGGUUAACGAGGCGAACCGGGGGAACUGAAACAUCUAAGUACCCCGAGGAAAAGAAAUCAACCGAGAUUCCCCCAGUAGCGGCGAGCGAACGGGGAGCAGCCCAGAGUCUGAAUCAGCUUGUGUGUUAGUGGAACGGUCUGGAAAGUCCGACGGUACAGGGUGAUAGUCCCGUACACCAAAAUGCACAGGUUGUGAACUCGAAGAGUAGGGCGGGACACGUGGUAUCCUGUCUGAAUAUGGGGGGACCAUCCUCCAAGGCUAAAUACUCCUGACUGACCGAUAGUGAACCAGUACCGUGAGGGAAAGGCGAAAAGAACCCCGGCGAGGGGAGUGAAAAAGAACCUGAAACCGUGUACGUACAAGCAGUGGGAGCACCUUCGGGUGUGACUGCGUACCUUUUGUAUAAUGGGUCAGCGACUUAUAUUCUGUAGCAAGGUUAACCGUAUAGGGGAGCCGCAGGGAAACCGAGUCUUAACUGGGCGUUAAGUUGCAGGGUAUAGACCCGAAACCCGGUGAUCUAGCCAUGGGCAGGUUGAAGGUUGGGUAACACUAACUGGAGGACCGAACCGACUAAUGUUGAAAAAUUAGCGGAUGACUUGUGGCUGGGGGUGAAAGGCCAAUCAAACCGGGAGAUAGCUGGUUCUCCCCGAAAGCUAUUUAGGUAGCGCCUCGUGAACUCAUCUUCGGGGGUAGAGCACUGUUUCGGCUAGGGGGUCAUCCCGACUUACCAACCCGAUGCAAACUACGAAUACCGAAGAAUGUUAUCACGGGAGACACACGGCGGGUGCUAACGUCCGUCGUGAAGAGGGAAACAACCCAGACCGCCAGCUAAGGUCCCAAAGUCAUGGUUAAGUGGGAAACGAUGUGGGAAGGCACAGACAGCCAGGAUGUUGGCUUAGAAGCAGCCAUCAUUUAAAGAAAGCGUAAUAGCUCACUGGUCGAGUCGGCCUGCGCGGAAGAUGUAACGGGGCUAAACCAUGCACCGAAGCUGCGGCAGCGACACUAUGUGUUGUUGGGUAGGGGAGCGUUCUGUAAGCCUGCGAAGGUGUGCUGUGAGGCAUGCUGGAGGUAUCAGAAGUGCGAAUGCUGACAUAAGUAACGAUAAAGCGGGUGAAAAGCCCGCUCGCCGGAAGACCAAGGGUUCCUGUCCAACGUUAAUCGGGGCAGGGUGAGUCGACCCCUAAGGCGAGGCCGAAAGGCGUAGUCGAUGGGAAACAGGUUAAUAUUCCUGUACUUGGUGUUACUGCGAAGGGGGGACGGAGAAGGCUAUGUUAGCCGGGCGACGGUUGUCCCGGUUUAAGCAUGUAGGCUGAUUGUCCAGGCAAAUCCGGAUAAUCAAGGCUGAGGUGUGAUGACGAGGCACUACGGUGCUGAAGUAACAAAUGCCCUGCUUCCAGGAAAAGCCUCUAAGCAUCAGGUAACAUUAAAUCGUACCCCAAACCGACACAGGUGGUCAGGUAGAGAAUACCAAGGCGCUUGAGAGAACUCGGGUGAAGGAACUAGGCAAAAUGGUGCCGUAACUUCGGGAGAAGGCACGCUGGUGUGUAGGUGAAGUCCCUGCGGAUGGAGCUGAGACCAGUCGAAGAUACCAGCUGGCUGCAACUGUUUAUUAAAAACACAGCACUGUGCAAACACGAAAGUGGACGUAUACGGUGUGACGCCUGCCCGGUGCCGGAAGGUUAAUUGAUGGGGUUAUCCGUAAGGAGAAGCUCUUGAUCGAAGCCCCGGUAAACGGCGGCCGUAACUAUAACGGUCCUAAGGUAGCGAAAUUCCUUGUCGGGUAAGUUCCGACCUGCACGAAUGGCGUAAUGAUGGCCAGGCUGUCUCCACCCGAGACUCAGUGAAAUUGAACUCGCUGUGAAGAUGCAGUGUACCCGCGGCAAGACGGAAAGACCCCGUGAACCUUUACUAUAGCUUGACACUGAACAUUGAGCCUUGAUGUGUAGGAUAGGUGGGAGGCUUUGAAGCGUGGACGCCAGUCUGCGUGGAGCCAACCUUGAAAUACCACCCUUUAAUGUUUGAUGUUCUAACGUUGGCCCCUGACCGGGGUUGCGGACAGUGUCUGGUGGGUAGUUUGACUGGGGCGGUCUCCUCCCAAAGCGUAACGGAGGAGCACGAAGGUUAGCUAAUCCUGGUCGGACAUCAGGAGGUUAGUGCAAUGGCAUAAGCUAGCUUGACUGCGAGCGUGACGGCGCGAGCAGGUGCGAAAGCAGGUCAUAGUGAUCCGGUGGUUCUGAAUGGAAGGGCCAUCGCUCAACGGAUAAAAGGUACUCCGGGGAUAACAGGCUGAUACCGCCCAAGAGUUCAUAUCGACGGCGGUGUUUGGCACCUCGAUGUCGGCUCAUCACAUCCUGGGGCUGAAGUAGGUCCCAAGGGUAUGGCUGUUCGCCAUUUAAAGUGGUACGCGAGCUGGGUUUAGAACGUCGUGAGACAGUUCGGUCCCUAUCUGCCGUGGGCGCUGGAGAAUUGAGGGGGGCUGCUCCUAGUACGAGAGGACCGGAGUGGACGCAUCACUGGUGUUCGGGUUGUCAUGCCAAUGGCACUGCCCGGUAGCUAAAUGCGGAAGAGAUAAGUGCUGAAAGCAUCUAAGCACGAAACUUGCCCCGAGAUGAGUUCUCCCUGAGACU